GAUUUACAAUCUUGUUUUGACCUCACUGAUUGGAGUGUUUUUGAAGCUGCUACCACCGAUCUGGACGAACUCACAGAGGCCGUAACAUCCUAUAUUAGUUUCUGUGAGGAUAUAUGCAUUCCUACCAGAACUUAUUUAACAUUCAACAAUGAUAAGCCAUGGUUUACAGUAAAACUCAGACAUCUUCGUCAGGCCAAAGAGGAUGCCUACAGAAAUGGGGACAGGUUCUUGUACAAUCAGGCCAGGAACACACUGAACAAACAGAUCAAAGCGGCUAAAAAGACCUACGCUAAAAAGUUGGAAGACCAGUUUACUUCCAACGACUCAACUUCAGUGUGGAGAGGUCUAAGAGCCAUCACGAACUACAAGACACCAUCCCCUUGCACUGAGGCUAAUCAACGACUUGCUAACGACCUGAAUGAGUUUUAUUGCAGAUUUGAAACCCCCAUCACCCAUUCUGACCAUCUCCCUACAAAACCAUUAACACAUCCUGCAAUCCCACCCUCCACACCUCCUGCUCUUCAAAUCUGUGAAGAUGAUGUGCGCCAGGUCUUCAAGAAGAACAAAAGAAGAAAAGCACCAGGCCCAGAUGGUGUUACACCAGCCUGUCUGAAAAUCUGUGCUGACCAGCUGGCCCCCAUCUUUUCACAGAUCUUCAACAGAUCCCUGGAGUUGUGUGAAGUGCCUUCCUGCUUCAAACGCUCCACCAUCAUCCCCAUCCCAAAGAAACCCAAGAUAGCAGAACUUAACGACUACAGACCUGUGGCUCUAACGUCUGUCGUCAUGAAGUCGUUUGAAAAACUGGUUCUGGCUUAUCUGAAGGACAUCACUGGACCCUUACUGGACCCCCUCCAGUUUGCUUACCGAGCAAACAGGUCCGUGGAUGAUGCAAUCAACAUGGGAUUGCACUUCAUCCUUCAAAAUCUGGACAAAACAGGGACUUAUGUGAGGAUCCUAUUUGUGGACUUUAGUUCGGCAUUCAACACCAUCAUCCCAACAGCCCUUCAGACCAAACUGACCCAGCUCUCUGUUCCUAGCUCUAUCUGUCAGUGGAUCACCAGCUUUCUGACAGAUAGGCAACAGUUAGUGAGACUGGGGAAAUAUACAUCAAACAGCUGA
rnacentral:lncRNA from 1 species